AGCUCUGAUACCAUGUUAGAUUAG
rnacentral:ncRNA from 3 species